rnacentral:rRNA from 1 species
UGCAAGUCGAACGAUGAACCUCACUUGUGGGGGGAUUAGUGGCGAACGGGUGAGUAACACGUGAGUAACCUGCCCUUGACUCUGGGAUAAGCCUGGGAAACCGGGUCUAAUACUGGAUACGACCUUCCCGCGCAUGCGGUGUUGGUGGAAAGCUUUUGCGGUUUUGGAUGGACUCGCGGCCUAUCAGCUUGUUGGUGGGGUAAUGGCCUACCAAGGCGACGACGGGUAGCCGGCCUGAGAGGGUGACCGGCCACACUGGGACUGAGACACGGCCCAGACUCCUACGGGAGGCAGCAGUGGGGAAUAUUGCACAAUGGGCGCAAGCCUGAUGCAGCGACGCCCGUGAGGGAUGAAGGCCUUCGGGUUGUAAACCUCUUUCAGUAGGGAAGAAGCUGGCCCUUGGGUUGGUGACGGUACCUGCAGAAGAAGCGCCGGCUAACUACGUGCCA